rnacentral:rRNA from 1 species
CCUACGGGUGGCAGCAGUGGGGAAUAUUGGUCAAUGGGCGGAACCCUGAACCAGCCAAGCCGCGUGAGUGAAGAAGUAUUUCGGUAUGUAAAGCUCUGUCAGCAGGGAAGAAAGAAAUGACGGUACCUGACCACGAAGCACCGGCUAACUACGUGCCAGCAGCCGAGGUCAUACGUAGGGGCGAAGCGUUAUCCGGAAUUACUGGGUGUACAGGGAGCGUAGACGGUGAAGUAAGUCUGGAGUGAAAGGCCGGGGCCCAACCCCGGGACUGCUCUGGAAACGAUUGGACUUGAGUGCAGGAGAGGUAAGCGGAAUGCCUAGUGUAGCGGUGAAAUGCAUAGAUAUUAGGAGGAACACCAGUGGCGAAGGCAGCUUACUGGACUGUAACUGACGUUGAGGCUCGAAAGCGUGGGGAGCAAACAGGAUUAGAUACCCUUGUAGUC